GGACACUUUACCUACAAAAUUCUUCCCUAACAGAACAGAUGGCUUAGUGACUGUCCUUCCUCCUUCACAGGAUACUCCCAAGAUGCAGGACUGACUCAAGGCUGAGUGGUAGAGAUGCUCAUUUUCAAGUCGCACCAUGCAUUGGACUUCCCGACACAUCCCUUCUGUGCCCCAGAUCAUCACCUGUGACCUGUAUGCUUGGCCACCAGCCCACAGAAUGUGACAUUUGUCAAGAGCUCCUGUGUCCUUCAGACACUGAAUCAUUCUUAGGGAGUAUUCUGCUCUGGAUCGGAAAUACUCCCCAAAGCCUUGCUCAUCGAGACUGUUGUGAAACUCUAAGAAGUGGUAUCUACUUAGGAGUUGGGGGGUGGUGAUGGCAGGAAGCCACUUCCUCCCCCCCCUCUCUACUUCCCAGACACCAUGAGGUGAGCAUCUGCGCUCUACAUGUCCCUCUCACUCCUAAUGAUGUUGGGUCACAACAAUGAUGGGGUCAAGUGGUCAUGAGCUGAGGUCUCUGAAACUGUGAGCCAACACAGACCUUUCUUCCUUUCAAGUUGUUUGUCAGGUACUUGUCACAGCAAUAGAAAUCCAACAGAGAGAGCUAGCCCCUUUCCUUACACCUCUCUAGAGUUCCACACAGAGGAAGCCGAGGGAAAGGGCACAGAUUUAGUCAGCAGUAUAUGGUUGUCUGGCCAAGCUAAAGCAGGGCCAGGAAACCCGAAGCCAAAUAUCCAUGAGAGAAAUGAUAAACUCUGAGAAAAGAAGGAGCUAGUAGACUUUCCUGCUGUGGUUAUUGAAACGUUCACUUGAUAGCCCAGACCUGCCAGAC
rnacentral:lncRNA from 1 species